rnacentral:sRNA from 1 species
AAAAAAAACACCAAAAAUCAAAGAAUCAAU